rnacentral:tRNA from 1 species
GACAUCGUAGCUCAGUUGGCAGAGCAUUGGACUAGUAUCCCAAAGGUCGCGGGUUCGAUUCCCACCGUGGUCA